AGUGACGGGUACACUGUGGGACCGCCGCUGCUAAAGCGGAGGAAGGAAUGGGCAACGGUAGGUCAGUAUGCCCCGAAUAUCCCGGGCUACACGCGAGCUACAAUGGUUGGUACAAUGGGUAUCUACCCCGAAAGGGGACGGAAAUCUCCUAAAACCAAUCUUAGUUCGGAUUGAGGGCUGCAACUCGCCCUCAUGAAGCUGGAAUCCGUAGUAAUCGCGUUUCAACAGAACGCGGUGAAUACGUCCCUGCUCCUU
rnacentral:rRNA from 1 species